AUGAACGCUAGCGGGAGGCUUAACACAUGCAAGUCGAGGGGUAUGAGUAGCAAUAUUCAGAGACCGGCGCACGGGUGAGUAACGCGUAUGCAACCUGCCCUUUACAGGGGGAUAGCCCGUCGAAAGGCGGAUUAAUACCCCAUAAUAUUGUACCAUCGCAUGAUGGAACGAUAAAAGCUUCGGCGGUAAAGGAUGGGCAUGCGUGACAUUAGCUAGUUGGUAGGGUAACGGCCUACCAAGGCUACGAUGUCUAGGGGUUCUGAGAGGAAGGUCCCCCACACUGGUACUGAGACACGGACCAGACUCCUACGGGAGGCAGCAGUGAGGAAUAUUGGUCAAUGGGCGGGAGCCUGAACCAGCCAUCCCGCGUGCAGGAAGACGGCCCUAUGGGUUGUAAACUGCUUUUGUGCAGGAAGAACGCUCUCUACGUGUAGGGAAGUGACGGUACUGCAUGAAUAAGCACCGGCUAACUCCGU
rnacentral:rRNA from 1 species